rnacentral:rRNA from 1 species
GAUGAACGCUGGCUACAGGCUUAACACAUGCAAGUCGAGGGGAAACGACGGGGAAGCUUGCUUCCCCGGGCGUCGACCGGCGCACGGGUGAGUAACGCGUAUCCAACCUGCCUCUGACUGAGGGAUAACCCGUCGAAAGUCGGCCUAAUACCUCAUGGCAUCGUCUGCGGGCAUCCAACGACGAUUAAAGAUUUCAUCGGUCAGAGAUGGGGAUGCGUCUGAUUAGCUUGUUGGCGGGGUAACGGCCCACCAAGGCGACGAUCAGUAGGGGUUCUGAGAGGAAGGUCCCCCACAUUGGAACUGAGACACGGUCCAAACUCCUACGGGAGGCAGCAGUGAGGAAUAUUGGUCAAUGGGCGAGAGCCUGAACCAGCCAAGUAGCGUGCAGGAUGACGGCACUAUGGGUUGUAAACUGCUUUUAUGCGGGGAUAAAGUGAGGGACGUGUCCUUCAUUGCAGGUACCGCAUGAAUAAGGACCGGCUAAUUCCGUG